AAAUCUCACAUCGACGACCCGGGACCAUCUCCCUCCAAAAGCUGCUUUUAGAAUCUCACACCUGUGUUUCUUUGUAUAUCUAUGAGCAUGCCAGGAUUCUGAUCUCGCAGCUGAGCUCUGGAAAUGACGCCCAGGGUUCUGCUUUAGCUCAAUGAUUUGGUGAGUGGCACCUCCUCUAUUACCGUGGCAACAACAACCAAUCCCCGCCACCUCCCCGCUCUGGUGUCCUGCGGUCACAGUGGUCCGGUCGGCGGUGGUCCUCGCAGAGGGAGCCAAUGAGGGGAGUACCUCCUCUAGACUGAUGAUCGCUGCAGAUGGGCACCAAUUUUUUACCAGGAUCUUGUCUUGAUGAUGGGAGAAUCCAACCACUGUGCAAAGUCUGGACUUGAGACGACCCUCAGAUUACAGGACUGCCCUCUCUGGCUUGUACAGGCAUGAUGGGUUCAUCACUUCAUCUGCAACACUUUUUACCCCGAUGUGCUCCUCACACCGGAAGAAGAAAGAUUUCCACAUAAGCCAAAUCAGGGAGGUGCAGGCACGCUUUGCAAAUCCUCUGCGGACAGAGGAAACAUGGAAGGGGCACGUGAUCGCACAUGGCGUUGGCACACUCCGAACCCCGCAGGCUAAACAGGCGGGGUUUAAGAAAAAGCCAUACAGGGUGUAGGAACAUUCGCAGGAUUAAAGGGGACAAGGACCCACCUUCACCUUCACGCCCCCGUUUCUUAAUCUGUGCUUUUGUGACCAGCACACACAAAGAUUGUGAAGAUGUAUGCAAGUGAUCCAAGAGUUAAAGCCGGAGGUUUUGGAUGAGUGUGUUCAGUGACAUUGGAGGGACGACGACCAUAAACUACUCCACAUUUUACACCGUCGGCACACACGCCUGACCCUGCUGUCUGGAAACCAGGUCACGCCACAAGUCCGGCCUUCAGUUUGUGCACCAUGUAGCAUAAUAAAGAUGUUUUAUGAAAAGAAAAAAAAAGAAGCUUUAUUAUUAGUAUA